UACGUAGGGUGCAGGCGUUAAUCGGAAUUACUGGGCGUAAAGGGCGCGUAGGCGGCCGCCUAAGUCAGACGUGAAAUCCCCGGGCUCAACCCGGGAACUGCGUCCGAUACUGGCAGGCUUGAAUCCGGGAGAGGGAUGCGGAAUUCCAGGUGUAGCGGUGAAAUGCGUAGAUAUCUGGAGGAACACCGGUGGCGAAGGCGGCAUCCUGGACCGGCAUUGACGCUGAGGCGCGAAAGCCAGGGGAGCAAACGGG
rnacentral:rRNA from 1 species